GAAUUAGGACAUCUUUUCCUGUUUGGCUCCGUUUCUCCCACCCUGCCCUUCCCCGUUCGAUGUUGUUAUUGGUACGCCAGAAGGAAUAACUCGUUAUAGCUGCAGGGCCCUGGAGACGGCUCUGAAUUUCAAACAUCUAAGCAAAGUGAAGGAGUCCUUCAGAGCUCCUCUCCGAAUCAGCAUAAUGUCGUUCUUAAUUAAGCCACGCCGUGACCUAAAUAAAUCAUAAGAUCAAACUUCAUUUCAACACCGCUUGUCACACGUCGAGCGAGUCCGAUGGUCUGUCGGGUCAGACCGCCGAGACAGAGAGGCUCAGCCUUGCAGGCAUAAUUAAAUAAUCUAAACAGCAUUCCCCAAAACGAACGCUUUCACUUGGGUUUCAGUGAACUUCGUUGGAGUAUCUGGCACCUCCAGCCCCUGGGCGAUGGUGGAGUUGAGGCUUUCUUUAGCGGGUGCUGGACCACAGGGAACAGCACGACAAGGCCAAUGGUGAACACCACCGAGACUGUGCCGCAGAAACUGCCCGUCUCGGAUGUAGCCGAGCGCAUCGGGAAGUUCACGCUUCUGAAUGCCUUUUUUCAGCAAACACAACAAGAACCGCAGUGAAUUACGUCUUUGCUGAUGAAACCUUGCUGAUUUUUGCCGUCUGGAAGCCCAGAGCUUCAGACACCAGCACGGUGGAGGACAUGUUUGCACGGCUGAUGGCUCCUGCUGGCAGAGCUGGUCCUGCAACUUCACCUCCAGGAGCUUCAAUCAACCCAGGAACUUCAGUCAGCAUUGCCAAGGCUGUCCUCCUUUGGAGAAAAAAGUCAUCAGCAAGUUAUUUUCCGGGAGGCACAGGGGGUACUUUUCUGCUACAGUCUUCAUUCAGAAAGUCAUCUGAGCUAUGGAGGUCACAUUCAUAAUUAAUCUGCACUCAUAGCUGUUAAUCCCCACACUACCAAAUGAACUGCUUUUUCAAGAAGUGAUAUGCCUUUGCUGUCCUACCUGGCGCUGGACAAGUGGACCGUGCUCCCCCUGACCUGACAAAACUCCGAGCGUUGCACGUUGCGUUGCCACCGGGACAACCUUCGCAGGGCUGGGGAAGUUUAUGAACUUCCUCACGAUCUGGUUACUGUCGGUGCAACUAAUUUUUCACUGGCUGAACUGCUUAGAAUCGAAAACUUGCAUUCACCUAUUCAAAGUCUUUACAGGCAAGAAAACUUUACUUAAAUCUUUUUUUCCCCACCUCAGCAAUCGCUGUUCCUUAUAUGGCAGCUAAUAAGAAUAUCCAGGAUGCUUUUGCACAUACCUGUUCCCCUAUAGGUGCACAGGCCCCAUACAUUCAACCACACAACCCGUAUAGCGUUAGGAGGGAGAGAGAAAGGCCUAAAACUCUACAUGUCCUCGUGCUGGUACGUGAAGCCAUCAGGGACUGUAUCUGUCCGGCCUUUUUCAAAGGUUUUUAUGACUUUAUCAGAUACUCAAAUCUUGUUUACAUGCACAACACAUCUUGAAGAAAAACAGUCACUGUGAACAUCUCAGAGACUGUAUACAUACUCAUUUCCCUGUUUGUGAUCCAAGAAACUGCUGAGUAAAUGGAGAACAGACAUGAGGCUGGUCUUCAUACCAGGGAUGUACGGAGGACCUUACGCACAUCUAUUAUCAGGACAUUGCUCAGAAAAGCUGCUAACAUAGCCCAUUUUCUGCUCAAGUGAGCAAAAUAUCCUUGCAGAAGUUUGUUAGCUUGAAAAUAGCAAAUUUUUAUGCAUGAUGUAGUUCACUUGAAGCUUCACUGAACUGAAGUUGCCUGACCUUUUGAUCUUUUUGCAAAGAAAUGAAGAGUCCCAAGAAAACUUGAAAUUGCUGCACCUUCAGUGGAGAAGGAAAGUGCUGCCAAAAGAUCUGAGGAAUUAAAGCUUUCUUUUCAUUUUAGGGGACCAAGACUAGUGAAAAAUAUAGGUAGUGAAUCUUUUAAAUUACAAUCCCCCCCCAAACAUCUUUGGAUGGAUGUUCAAAGCAGUGUUAUCUUCACAAAUAUUGCAUACCACAGCACUGCUAUUAGGGCUUGCUCAGCUAGCUCCUAAGGUUUAUAUUAUUGCCACCCAGAACACUCUUUUUACAAGAUAUUGAGAAGAACACAAAAUGCCAAUGCUUAAAAGGGAGAACCCAUAAGCUGAAGGAUGUAUUUCAUAUCCACAGAGGGAGCCAAGACUUGACGGAUGGGCUUUGAAAAGUCAUUAGGAGUGUUUGCCCUGUAAGGUGGAGAAAGAUGGAGCUAUUUCAAACCAAAAAGUGCACAAGUCGUGCGGUCACUAGAUGGACUUUCACGGACUUGAUAGAGCGCACAGUGGGGUUUUUUGUUGUUUUUCUGCUUGUUGUUGUUGUUUUUUAAGAUGCAGUAAUGAUAGCAGUAUAUGUUGAAUGACAGUAUGAAUUGGAUAGGUCCCAAAAAGUAAAUCUCUUUCCUUUUGCAAGAUAGGCUCUUAGGAACUUUGCUCAGCUAUUAAUCAAGAUGUGAGGUGGAUUUUUUUCAGCCUUCAUACCCACUUUUGUAAGCCAUCUAACAAAACGUGUGUCUGAGUUUCGAAGUCUGUGAUGAUGCAGGAGCUCAGUCUCCUUCCUGGGGGAUUUCUUUGAAGAGGCAGCUGUUGUGGAAGUGCUUCUGACCAGACCAGACCUAUCAGGGUGGAGGAGAGUUUCAUGGACUUUGUCAUUAUAUUAAACUCAUAGUGACUUUUCCUCAAGUUUCUCAUUAAUCACCAGAAGAUGCUAAAAUUUGGACAGCGCAAACAUUCCUCCCAAAGCAAAAUACAACACAUGGCUGUCUACUAUUCGCAAGUGUUAACUGUUUGAAACCCAGCAAUUCCACAUUGUGCUAUGAAUUUCAGAAAAUCACAGAAUCAUGAAAGGAUAUUGACAACCUAGAGGGUAAAAAGGAGACAGACGAUUAUUCAUAAAACCAUGACUACAUGGGAAGGGACCUCCAGCACUCACUAAACCAAUAGAUGAAAAUCAUGAAGCAGUACCCCAACAGUUGAAAAUGGACAUGUUUUGCCCCAACAGUAAUGCUAGCUGAAAACUCAAUGCUACACUUACCUAUAACAGGCCAGGGAAUCCCAUAUUAGACUUGCCACUGGCUCAGACGUGUUGCAAGAUCCUUGAUCCUUCAUAAUUCAGAGGGGUCUGACAUUUCUCCCAUAUUCCCCACGUCUGGAUCGCUGGCAGUCAGUUGGCUGUGACCACGUUUGCUAACAGAGCGUGGAAAUCCACAUGUAGUAUUGCCUCUGGAUCCUGCUUGGAGAUCACAUGAAACUAAACAGCGCAGCACCAUCUGUGAAUUUUAAAUAUGUUUUAAUAAAAAUUGCAGUUUUAGGCUCUCUGCUCUGUGAGUAUCCUUGACAGCCCUGUGCAAUGCUUGGCUGCUCUCAGGGAGACAGGAGGAUUGCCACUGGAGUCACACUAGAGCUUCCCUUCAAAUAACAUUAAGAUAAGACACAUCUGAAGAAUAAACCCCUUAGGCUAACUUCUCCAGUCAAAUCUCUGUGCAUUUCCCAGGGCUUUCUCCCAGGGAUUUCAAGUUUUCACCCAUAGCAUAUCAGCACCUCAAAGACCUUCAGGUCAGUUUAGCAGAACCAAUGACUCACAUGCAUGAGAAACAUGGGUUGCAACCUCAAGCCACUUGGGCGCGGCCUCCCUGUGAUAUAGUUUUGUUUUCCAUUUCUUUGAUUUUUUCCAGCUGUAUUU